UACGUAGGGGGCAAGCGUUGUCCGGAUUUACUGGGCGUAAAGAGCGCGCAGGCGGUCGUUCAAGUCGCGUGUGAAAGCCCCCGGCUCAACUGGGGAGGGUCACGCGAUACUGAUCGACUCGAAGGCAGGAGAGGGAAGUGGAAUUCCCGGUGUAGUGGUGAAAUGCGCAGAUAUCAGGAGGAACACCGGUGGCGAAGGCGGUUCUCUGGGCAUUACCUGACGCUGAGGAGCGAAAGUGUGGGGAGCGAACAGG
rnacentral:rRNA from 1 species